rnacentral:rRNA from 1 species
GAGGAAUAUUGGUCAAUGGACGAGAGUCUGAACCAGCCAAGUAGCGUGAAGGAUGACUGCCCUAUGGGUUGUAAACUUCUUUUAUACGGGAAUAAAGUGAGGCACGUGUGCCUUUUUGUAUGUACCGUAUGAAUAAGGAUCGGCUAACUCCGUGCCAGCAGCCGCGGUAAUACGGAGGAUCCGAGCGUUAUCCGGAUUUAUUGGGUUUAAAGGGAGCGUAGGCGGACGCUUAAGUCAGUUGUGAAAGUUUGCGGCUCAACCGUAAAAUUGCAGUUGAUACUGGGUGUCUUGAGUACAGUAGAGGCAGGCGGAAUUCGUGGUGUAGCGGUGAAAUGCUUAGAUAUCACGAAGAACUCCGAUUGCGAAGGCAGCUUGCUGGACUGUAACUGACGCUGAUGCUCGAAAGUGUGGGUAUCAAACAGGAUUAGAUACCCUGGUAGUCCACACAGUAAACGAUGAAUACUCGCUGUUUGCGAUAUACAGUAAGCGGCCAAGCGAAAGCGUUAAGUAUUCCACCUGGGGAGUACGCCGGCAACGGUGAAACUCAAAGGAAUUGACGGAGGCCCGCACAAGCGGAGGAACAUGUGGUUUAAUUCGAUGAUACGCGAGGAACCUUACCCGGGCUUAAAUUGCAACUGACUGAACCGGAAACGGUUCCUUCUUCGGACAGUUGUGAAGGUGCUGCAUGGUUGUCGUCAGCUCGUGCCGUGAGGUGUCGGCUUAAGUGCCAUAACGAGCGCAACCCUUAUCGAUAGUUACUAGCAGGUCAUGCUGAGGACUCUAUUGAGACUGCCGUCGUAAGAUGUGAGGAAGGUGGGGAUGACGUCAAAUCAGCACGGCCCUUACGUCCGGGGCUACACACGUGUUACAAUGGGGGGUACAGAAGGCAGCUACACGGCGACGUGGUGCUAAUCCCGAAAGCCUCUCUCAGUUCGGAUUGGAGUCUGCAACCCGACUCCAUGAAGCUGGAUUCGCUAGUAAUCGCGCAUCAGCCACGGCGCGGUGAAUACGUUCCCG